rnacentral:rRNA from 2 species
AAAGCAUCUAAGCACGAAACCAACUCCAAGAUGAGACUUCUUUUAAGGGUUGUGGUAGAAGACCACGUUGAUAGGUUGCAGGUGUAAAGGUAGAGAUAUCAAAGCUGAGCAAUACUAAUAACCCGUAAGCUUUCACAAUAAAA